AGUGAACGCUGGCGGUAGGCCUAACACAUGCAAGUCGAACGGCAGCACAGUAGGAGCUUGCUCUUACGGGUGGCGAGUGGCGGACGGGUGAGGAAUACAUCGGAAUCUACUUUUUCGUGGGGGAUAACGUAGGGAAACUUACGCUAAUACCGCAUACGACCUACGGGUGAAAGCAGGGGAUCUUCGGCCCUCGCGCGAUUGAAUGAGCCGAUGUCGGAUUAGCUAGUUGGCGGGGUAAAGGCCCACCAAGGCGACGAUCCGUAGCUGGUCUGAGAGGAUGAUCAGCCACACUGGAACUGAGACACGGUCCAGACUCCUACGGGAGGCAGCAGUGGGGAAUAUUGGACAAUGGGCGCAAGCCUGAUCCAGCCAUACCGCGUGGGUGAAGAAGGUCUUCGGGUUGUAAAGCCCUUUUGUUGGGGAAGAAAAGCAGUAGGUUAAUACCCCGCUGUUCUGACGGUACCCAAAGAAUAAGCACCGGCUAACUUCGUG
rnacentral:rRNA from 1 species